rnacentral:rRNA from 1 species
AAGGGGGAGGUAGCUCAGGUGUUCAAGGAGAGGGUCAUUAAGGAGGGCCCUUGGGAGGAAGGAGGGGAUGCGGACAAUGUGUGGAUGAAGAUGGCGACUUGCAUUCGUAAGGUGGCCUCGGAGGAGUUUGGAGUGUCCAGGGGAAGGAUAAGCGAAGAUAAGGAUGCCUGGUGGUGGAAUGAUGAUGUCCAGAAGGCGAUUAAAGAGAAGAAAGAUUGCUUCAGACGCCUAUACCUGGAUAGGAGUGCAGACAACAUAGAGAAGUACAAGAUGGCGAAGAAGGCCGCAAAGCGAGCUGUUGGUGAAGCAAGGGGUCGGGCAUAUGAGGACCUCUACCAACGGUUAGGCACGAAGGAAGGUGAAAGGGACAUCUAUAAGAUGGCCAAGAUCCGAGAGAGGAAGACGAGGGAUAUUGGCCAAGUCAAAUGCAUCAAGGACGGAGCAGGCCAACUCUUGGUGAAGGACGAGGAGAUUAAGCAUAGAUGGCGGGAGUACUUCGACAAGCUGUUCAAUGGGGAGAAUCAG